UGUACGUGGAGUGAGGCAACCUGGGAAAUUAUGGAGUCAGAACACAUUGAUUUUCCCGCAACGGAUGCAGGCGGCAGCCCUGAUGAAGAAUUACAGAGGAAAUGCAAUAACCUAAUUCUCCUCCACGCCGCCGGCCCCCGCCACACCUGCAGGCCUGAGCUUACCUGCUCAGGUUCCAUUCCCGAGACACGGCUGCACAGGACUCGCCCGCUGCCUGCGUCCGAGGGUCUUCUGCAGAGGGGGAGAAAAGCAAAAUGCUCCGAUGGGUGGAUUUACACGGCAGCCCUUCCGGUCACGGAGCACCAAGCGGUCACUAAGCCCUGGCUUUUAUCUCCCUGUGGCUGCAGGAGAAGGGGAAUCGCUUUCCCAGCAUCAGCCGGGGAAGACAGCCUGGGAUGAUGGCAGGGGGGAACAUGAGCAUGGGGUGGACCUGCUUGGGCUCGGCUUCACCUGCCUCCUCCCCUCCCCCGGCCCCCGCACCCCCGCCCCACCUCCCCGAACCCUCUCUGAGCAGGGGCCACCCAUGGAGCGGAACCAAUACCCAGGAGCGGCUGGCAAGGUGUCUGGAGUGAUCCAAGUCAGAGAAAAACCCAUUUCUACACCCCAAAGAGAUGGAACGCUCUACCACGGACCCCCAAGAGCCUGCCCUUCCGGCGAGGGGACCCCCCCUUUCCUGCUCUUGAACCCACAGUCUUGCCUUCAGGAGCUCCUCACUCACGCCUGCCGCCUCGGGUCCACAGAGCAAGUGACCCGUGGCUGGUUCACGCUGGAAUGGAUUGUCAGCACAAAAUAUACACCACAUUCUCAAGACCUGGCAUGGGUGGGGUGGGGGUGGAAUAUAUAAAAUAA